GGACGAAAUCGUCCCACUGGCCCUAGAGAAGUUAAACAUAGUUAGUAGAUUAAAUAAAUAGCAGUCAUCAGAUUAAUGAAAAUAAAGUCACAACAGCUGUAUUGGUUGGGUAUCAUUUGGCUGAUUAGCCAAGUUACUGACUAGACUUGUUAUAAAUGUUUUUGUUGUUUUUGCAUUUCAGGUUGAGAGGGAGUAAGAUCACUAGAAUACAGCAUGCGUUCAGACCACCACAGGACCCUAGAGAGAAUCACAGGAGAGAAUCACUGGAGAGCAUCACUGAGGACAGGGGAGAAUGACCAUCUACUUCCAAACAUGAGUUGUCCUAUUUGAAUAAACUUAUUUUCCUCCCCC
rnacentral:lncRNA from 1 species